CUGCACUUCGGGAUAAGCCUGGGAAACUGGGUCUAAUACCGGAUAGGACGAUGGUUUGGAUGCCAUUGUGGAAAGUUUUUUCGGUGUGGGAUGAGCUCGCGGCCUAUCAGCUUGUUGGUGGGGUAAUGGCCUACCAAGGCGUCGACGGGUAGCCGGCCUGAGAGGGUGUACGGCCACAUUGGGACUGAGAUACGGCCCAG
rnacentral:rRNA from 1 species